GUAUUUAUUUUUGGUUGUUUUGCAUUCGCGAGGUAAUCAAGAGAUUUGAGAUGUCUCGUCCUCUGGGCGAGUAUCUUUAAUGUUAUAGCCUCUUUUGUGGUAAAACAACUCUGCAGAACAGUAUUUGAAUGGAACCUUGGUUUCUUUAAUGCCUAAUAUGCAGACUUACCUAUUGAAAAGGGGGUCCAUAAACUAAGGUGGUGUCUCGGCACCACUUGAA
rnacentral:misc_RNA from 1 species